GAUGAACGCUGGCGGCGUGCCUAAUACAUGCAAGUCGAGCGAAGCGGGGACGGGUGAGUAACACGUGGAUAACCUCCUAUAAGACUGGGAUAACUUCGGGAAACCGGAGCCAAACCGGAUACUUAACGCUGGAUCCGUGCUGCAUUAGCUAGUUGGUAAGGUAACGGCUUACCAAGGCAAUGGUGCAUAGCAGACCUGGAAGGUUGAUCGGCCACACUGGAACUGAGACACGGUCCAGACUCCUACGGGAGGCAGCAGUAGGGAAUCUUCCGCAAUGGGCGAAAGCCUGACGGAGCAACGCCGCGUGAGUGAUGAAGGUCUUCGGAUCGUAAAACUCUGUUAUUAGGGAAGCGGUACCUAAUCAGAAAGCCACGGCUAACUACGUGCCAGCCGCCGCGGUAAUAC
rnacentral:rRNA from 1 species